AUGAAGCUGGAAUCGCUAGUAAUCGCGGAUCAGAAUGCCGCGGUGAAUACGUUCCCGGGUCUUGUACACACCGCCCGUCACACCAUGGGAGUCGGAAAUGCCCGAAGUCUGUGACCCAACCUGAGAGGGAGGGAGCAGCCGAAGGCAGGUCUGAUGACUGGGGUGAAGUCGUAACAAGGUACC
rnacentral:rRNA from 1 species